rnacentral:rRNA from 1 species
UACGGAGGGUCCAAGCGUUAUCCGGAAUCAUUGGGUUUAAAGGGUCCGUAGGCGGUUUUGUAAGUCAGUGGUGAAAGCCCAUCGCUCAACGGUGGAACGGCCAUUGAUACUGCAAGACUUGAAUUAUUGUGAAGUAACUAGAAUAUGUAGUGUAGCGGUGAAAUGCUUAGAGAUUACAUGGAAUACCAAUUGCGAAGGCAGGUUACUAACAAUAUAUUGACGCUGAUGGACGAAAGCGUGGGUAGCGAACAGG